AACUCCCUGCUGACACGUGUGCAACUGCCAAAGCUCGCGUUUUCUGUGAAUUGUGUCCCUCCGUGCUUCCCUUACCCCCAGUAGCGCUUUAGCCUAUGCUACAGGAACAAUAAAGACACAGCCAGAGAGGGAAGCCACUGAGUCAGUCAUUUUCUGUGUGCCCGUCGAGAUUUUGAAGCAGAAAGAAUGAUGCAACCUUUCAAGACAUCACUUAUUGAUCGGUGUGAAUCGGACAGAGGACGCAGAUCAUAAGCAGUCCAAUCUCACACAGCCCUGCUGAACUCCUGAAGCCCACUAAGGAACCAACAUCAACUGCUGACCCUGUUGCUGUACCAGGAACAUGGAGUGAAGCUGGUGUUUCUUCCACCCCCUCUGCUCCCAGCUGCUCAGUACCAUUAAACACCGGGAUGCCAGCCCUUAAUUUGGCAAGGAGGCCUCCUGCUCAGCAUCUUUCCACCAUCAUUACCACAGCUAGCCCACCUGAUUUCAGCAGCCCUACCACUGCCAGGACCACCUCUGCCACAACCCAGCCAUCGUCUAGUCCUGCAAAGACACAGGGGUCACCAGUGCCUCGUCCCGUCCACCACCAGUUCCUUUGUCUUUGUCACGUUGAGCUGCAGGUGGUUCCGCUCGCACCAUGCGAGAAAGUCCUUCACUGUCGCCCUGUACUCAUCCUCAU